AGGCAUUUUUGGUCUUGACAUAGUUGGUGAAUUUGGUCAGGGUAACGAAGAUCUUAUCAUUGUCCACGAAGCUCUCAACUUUGGAGAUUGUCAUCUCUCCCUUGCGAUACCCAAUUAUGAAA